rnacentral:rRNA from 1 species
AGAGUUUAAUCCUGGCUCAGAUUGAACGCUGGCGGAAUGCUUUACACAUGCAAGUCGAACGGUAGAGGGGGCAACCCCUUGAGAGUGGCGAACGGGUGAGUAAUGUAUCGGAACGUGCCCAGUCGUGGGGGAUAACGUAGUGAAAAUUACGCUAAUACCGCAUACGAUCUAUGGAUGAAAGCGGGGGAUCGCAAGACCUCGCGCGAUUGGAGCGGCCGAUAUCAGAUUAGGUAGUUGGUGGGGUAAAGGCUCACCAAGCCAACGAUCUGUAGCUGGUCUGAGAGGACGACCAGCCACACUGGAACUGAGACACGGUCCAGACUCCUACGGGAGGCAGCAGUGGGGAAUUUUGGACAAUGGACGCAAGUCUGAUCCAGCCAUUCCGCGUGCAGGACGAAGGCCUUCGGGUUGUAAACUGCUUUUGUACGGAACGAAAAAGCUCUUAUUAAUACUAGGAGUCCAUGACGGUACCGUAAGAAUAAGCACCGGCUAACUACGUGCCAGCAGCCGCGGUAAUACGUAGGGUGCAAGCGUUAAUCGGAAUUACUGGGCGUAAAGCGUGCGCAGGCGGUUAUAUAAGACAGAUGUGAAAUCCCCGAGCUUAACUUGGGAACUGCAUUUGUGACUGUAUAGCUAGAGUACGGCAGAGGGGGAUGGAAUUCCGCGUGUAGCAGUGAAAUGCGUAGAUAUGCGGAGGAACACCGAUGGCGAAAGCAAUCCCCUGGGCCUGUACUGACGCUCAUGCACGAAAGCGUGGGGAGCAAACAGGAUUAGAUACCCUGGUAGUCCACGCCCUAAACGAUGUCAACUGGGUUGUUGGGUCUUCACUGACUCAGUAACGAAGCUCACGCGUGAAGAUGACCGCCUGGGGAGUAC